GACGAACGCUGGCGGCGUGCUUAACACAUGCAAGUCGAACGGAAAGGCCCUGCUUUUGUGGGGUGCUCGAGUGGCGAACGGGUGAGUAACACGUGAGUAACCUGCCCUUGACUUUGGGAUAACUUCAGGAAACGGGGGCUAAUACCGGAUAGGAGCUCCUGCUGCAUGGUGGGGGUUGGAAAGUUUCGGCGGUUGGGGAUGGACUCGCGGCUUAUCAGCUUGUUGGUGGGGUAGUGGCUUACCAAGGCUGUGACGGGUAGCCGGCCUGAGAGGGUGACCGGCCACAUUGGGACUGAGAUACGGACCAGACUCCUACGGGAGGCAGCAGUCGGGAAUAUUGCACAAUGGGCGGAAGCCUGAUGCAGCAACGCCGCGUGCGGGAUGACGGCCUUCGGGUUGUAAACCGCUUUCGCCUGUGACGAAGCGUGAGUGACGGUAAUGGGUAAAGAAGCACCGGCUAACUACGUG
rnacentral:rRNA from 1 species